GGUAUUUCUAUCAGCUUUUAGAGCGAUGAGUCUUAGGGGUUUUCUAUCAUGAAGAACUAGACAAGUAUUUUUGAAGAUGGAUCCAAGUACUGUACCAAGAAAAAUAGGUGACUCACUUUUUAAAGAUAAUUUCUAUAAUUUCUUUUGCUAUAUGAUUAUCAUGUUUUUUAUUCAUGCAUAGAAUGAAUCUUGAAGGAUAGCUUAAAUUCAGGGUUUUCGUUCUUUGCUCCAACUGAUGAUCAAUUUGGGUGAAACAUCGGGAUUUGUUUUUGUGAAUUUUUGAAGGCUUCAUCUUUUUUUCUUUUUUUUCCUUUCCUAACCGUUGUCUCCUGUUAAUAAGAAGAACUAGACAAGGAUUUUAAUUCAAGUGCUGUUCCAGAUCAACACAAAGGUAAGUUAAUAAUAAGAUAUUUAAAAAACGGGUCAGUCUAUUUUCACGAUAGUUUCUAUAAUUUCUUUAGCUAUAUGAUGAUAAAUCAAGUUUCAGUUGAUUCUGUUUUUGUGAAUUCUCUGAUGGUUUUCAUAGAAUCUCUAAAUUUUGGGAUUCAGCAAUUAUGUUCUCUCUUUUUUCUAUUACAAUAUGUUCUUUUUUCUAUACUCUUUGUUUCUAUAAUUCCCUUGUCUUUAUGAUUACAUUCUUCGAUGUUGCAUUUGGAUGAAUUUUGAAGGAUCUUUUUUGGAUUUUGUUCUUUGGAGUGAUAAUCAAUAUUGGGUUUCAUUGGAUUUUUUAUGUGAGUUUCCUCUUAGUUGAAUCUUCAAUGUAAUAUGUGCUUUUGUGUUAUGUUUUUGUUAUUCGUUUUUGACUGGAGAAAGAACUCAUUUCCACUCUCAAAUGGGGGUAGGAACGUGGUCUGAAACAACACGGCCAACCAAAUUUGAAUUUUUGCUCUUUAUGUUCGUUUUAAAGUUGUGAUGUAGAAACACAUUCUUUAUUCUAUUUGUGUUUCAUGGAUAUCAGGAAGAGGAUUUGUUGCUUGGAUUCUUCCACGUACCUCAUCUAGGUUUUUAUUGAGCCCUAGAAGAAAUUUAUAGAUUCUUUUCUUCUCCACUUUUUUCUUGUAUCUUGCUGCAUCUCCUUGAGAUUCCAAUUCAUUUCUUCUUGACACAAGUCGUGAUGGACGCCUUCGAUCUCAAAUGAUUUAGGAUUCUCGAGGCCUAAAGACAUAAUGGUUCAUUGAAUUGAUUAGCGAUAACAUCAGCAUAUUAUAUUCUGCUUCAACUCUUGAACUUUGAAUCAUUGGCUGCUGGAGUUAUGGCAGCCCUGGUGACAUAUUAUUCUCCAUUCCCUUUCCUCAGAUAAACAUUAUAAUGGAUUGGGGACCAUUGUAACUAAUUUUCCCAUUCAGUCGGCACUCUAAUUUAGGUAUCUCUGGACAGAGCAUUCUAAUUUGGGUAUCUCUGGAUAGGUUUAAUUGCAGGUUCAUUGAUUUUUGGUUAUUCAAGUUGUAUGAGCAUUCUAAAUUACCUCAAUCAUGGUUAGUUUGCACUUUGUAAUAUUGAAAGUGCAUGACAUUUCAACAAGUGAUACUAUAUACUCUUGCCCUUCGGACAAAAGGCUGAUACUUCCAGGGUAACUGUUUCUUCAUCCCACGAUGAGGCGAAUUCAUGAGUUUCCCAAAAAUGUUUCCGUUUACUUUUCAAUCAGUAUCUUUUCACAUUCUGAAAUUUGAAACAGCUUUCAGGAUCAGCAGAAGUUUUGCACUUUUGCCCAUCCCUGAUGUGGGUCAUCCAUUAGCUAAAUUCCAGCUAAAGAGAUUAAAACACAGUAUAAACUUCUUGUUAAAGGUUAGGAUUUUUCCUAUUACGAUAGUUCUUAUCUCAUAGUUCUUUUAAGAUGUUAAUUUUCAUAUUUCUAUUUCUGAAGUGACAUAAUUCGUAAAUAACGUAAAUCAAGCUGUUAAAGAGGAACAUCUGUGAUGCAUAUGAAUUGGAUUAAUCUUUUGAAAGGCAAAGGAACAUCUGUGAUGCAUUAAUGGAUAUGGACACAUUCUCAAUUGAAAAUGUUAUAUAGAAAAGCUGCAAAAAGUUCUAAGUUUUGUUAAGACACAUUCUUGAUUGAGUAGCUGUCCUUGUUUACCCACGAUUAUUAUUUUUUGC
rnacentral:lncRNA from 1 species